rnacentral:rRNA from 1 species
UACGUAGGGUGCGAGCGUUAAUCGGAAUUACUGGGCGUAAAGUGUGCGCAGGCGGCCGCGCAAGUCGAGUGUGAAAGCCCCGAGCUUAACUUGGGAAUUGCGCUCGAAACUACGUGGCUGGAGUGUGGCAGAGGAAGGUGGAAUUCCAGGUGUAGCGGUGAAAUGCGUAGAGAUCUGGAGGAACACCGGUGGCGAAGGCGGCCUUCUGGACAGUGACUGACGCUGAGACGCGAAAGCGUGGGGAGCAAACAGG